UAACGCAUUAAGUNCCCGCCUGGGAGUACGAUCGCAAGAUUAAACUCAAAGGAAUUGACGGGCCCCGCACAAGCAGCGGAGCAUGCGGCUUAAUUCGACGCAACGCGAAGAACCUUACCAAGGCUUGACAUAUACAGGAAUAUGGCAGAGAUGUCAUAGCCGCAAGGUCUGUAUACAGGUGGUGCAUGGUUGUCGUCAGCUCGUGUCGUGAGAUGUUGGGUUAAGUCCCGCAACGAGCGCAACCCUCGUUCUGUGUUGCCAGCAUUUAGUUGGGGACUCACAGGAGACUGCCGGGGUUAACUCGGAGGAAGGUGGGGAUGACGUCAAAUCAUCAUGCCCCUUAUGUCUUGGGCUGCACGCAUGCUACAAUGGCUGGUACAAACGGCUGCAAUACCGCAAGGUGGAGCGAAUCCGAGAAAGCCAGUCUCAGUUCGGAUUGGGGUCUGCAACUCGACCCCAUGAAGUCGGAGUUGCUAGUAAUCGUAGAUCAGCAACGCUACGGUGAAUACGUUCCCGGGGCUUGUACACACCGCCCGUCACGUCACGAAAGUCGGUAACACCCGAAGUCAGUGGCCCAACCGCAAGGAGGGAGCUGCCGAAGGUGGGAUCGGUGAUUGGGACGAAGUCGUAACAAGGUA
rnacentral:rRNA from 1 species